rnacentral:tRNA from 1 species
GCGGGCGUGGCGGAAUUGGCAGACGCGUACGCUUCAGGUGCGUAUGGGAGCAAUCUCGUGAAGGUUCAAGUCCUUUCGCCCGCA